AGAGUUUGAUCCUGGCUCAGGACGAACGCUGGCGGCGUGCUUAACACAUGCAAGUCGAACGAAAAGACGGAAAGAGCUUGCUCUUUUCAGAAUUGAGUGGCAAACGGGUGAGUAACACGUAAACAACCUGCCUUCAGGAUGGGGACAACAGACGGAAACGACUGCUAAUACCGAAUAAGUUCCAAGAGCCGCAUGGCCCAUGGAAGAAAAGGUGGCCUCUACCUGUAAGCUAUCGCCUGAAGAGGGGUUUGCGUCUGAUUAGCUGGUUGGAGGGGUAACGGCCCACCAAGGCGACGAUCAGUAGCCGGUCUGAGAGGAUGAACGGCCACACUGGAACUGAGACACGGUCCAGACUCCUACGGGAGGCAGCAGUGGGGAAUCUUCCGCAAUGGGCGAAAGCCUGACGGAGCAACGCCGCGUGAGUGAUGACGGCCUUCGGGUUGUAAAACUCUGUGAUCCGGGACGAAAAGGCAGAGUGUGAAGAACAAACUGCAUUGACGGUACCGGAAAAGCAAGCCACGGCUAACUACGUGCCAGCAGCCGCGGUAAUACGUAGGUGGCAAGCGUUGUCCGGAAUUAUUGGGCGUAAAGCGCGCGCAGGCGGCUUCCCAAGUCCCUCUUAAAAGUGCGGGGCUUAACCCCGUGAUGGGAAGGAAACUGGGAAGCUGGAGUAUCGGAGAGGAAAGUGGAAUUCCUAGUGUAGCGGUGAAAUGCGUAGAUAUUAGGAGGAACACCAGUGGCGAAGGCGGAUUGCUGGACGAUAACUGACGGUGAGGCGCGAAAGUGUGGGGAGCAAACAGGAUUAGAUACCCUGGUAGUCCACACUGUAAACGACUGUCUCUUAUACACAUCUCCGAGCCCACGAGACGUAGAGGAAUCUCGU
rnacentral:rRNA from 1 species